AACGAACGCUGGCGGCAGGCCUAACACAUGCAAGUCGAGCGCGCCCUUCGGGGUGAGCGGCGGACGGGUGAGUAACGCGUGGGAACGUGCCCUUUUCUACGGAAUAGCCUCGGGAAACUGAGAGUAAUACCGUAUACGCCCUUUGGGGGAAAGAUUUAUCGGAAAAGGAUCGGCCCGCGUUGGAUUAGGUAGUUGGUGGGGUAAUGGCCUACCAAGCCGACGAUCCAUAGCUGGUUUGAGAGGAUGAUCAGCCACACUGGGACUGAGACACGGCCCAGACUCCUACGGGAGGCAGCGGUGGGGAAUCUUAGACAAUGGGGGCAACCCUGAUCGAGCCAUGCCGCGUGAGUGAUGAAGGCCUUAGGGUUGUAAAGCUCUUUCAGCUGGGAAGAUAAUGACGGUACCAGCAGAAGAAGCCCCGGCUAACUCCGUG
rnacentral:rRNA from 1 species